rnacentral:rRNA from 1 species
AUUGAACGCUGGCGGCGGGCCUAACACAUGCAAGUCGAGCGGAUGAAGAGAGCUUGCUCUCUGAUUUAGCGGCGGACGGGUGAGUAAUGCCUAGGAAUCUGCCUGGUAGUGGGGGAUAACGUUCCGAAAGGAACGCUAAUACCGCAUACGUCCUACGGGAGAAAGCAGGGGACCUUCGGGCCUGGCGCUAUCAGAUGAGCCUAGGUCGGAUUAGCUAGUGGGUGAGGUAAUGGCUCACCAAGGCUACGAUCCGUAACUGGUAUGAGAGGAUGAUCAGUCACACUGGAACUGAGACACGGUCCAAACUCCUACGGGAGGCAGCAGUGGGGAAUAUUGGACAAUGGGCGAAAGCCUGAUCCAGCCAUGCCGCGUGUGUGAAGAAGGUCUUCGGAUUGUAAAGCACUUUAAGUUGGGAGGAAGGGCAGUAAGUUAAUACCUUGCUGUUUUGACGUUACCGACAGAAUAAGCACCGGCUAACUUCGUGCCAGCCGCCGCAGUAACAC